UUUUCAAAUCACAUAUAAAAGCUUCAUAGUUUUAUUUUAACUCAUAUUUAGAUUGUUUGUUUCAGUUGUUUUAUAAGCGUGUGUUUUAUUUUUGAAGUGUAUACAAAUUUAGUGGUCUAGGAGUUGCCCAUGUUAGAGUUACUCACUUUUAGUGAGUAUUCCAAAGACAGAGAUGUUAAAAGGGAAAAUUAACAUAUUUUGGUGUAUAUACAAUAGGACGGGUGACGAUAUUGCAAUUUCUUUGGGAUUUACUUAAGUCUUCGUCGACUUUGCCAAAAGGGUUGACAUUAACCAACCGCCCACUAAUGGCGAUUUUUUGGUACAUAUUACGGGCAAAAGGCUGAAUGGAUUUUAAUGAAUUGGGCAUCAAUCGUAAGAUAUUUUUCCAGAGAAGCGAC